UCGUAACAAGGUCUCCGUUGGUGAACCAGCGGAGGGAUCAUUACCGAGUUUACAACUCCCAAACCCCUGUGAACAUACCAAUUGUUGCCUCGGCGGAUCAGCCCGCUCCCGGUAAAACGGGACGGCCCGCCAGAGGACCCCUAAACUCUGUUUCUAUAUGUAACUUCUGAGUAAAACCAUAAAUAAAUCAAAACUUUCAACAACGGAUCUCUUGGUUCUGGCAUCGAUGAAGAACGCAGCAAAAUGCGAUAAGUAAUGUGAAUUGCAGAAUUCAGUGAAUCAUCGAAUCUUUGAACGCACAUUGCGCCCGCCAGUAUUCUGGCGGGCAUGCCUGUUCGAGCGUCAUUUCAACCCUCAAGCCCAGCUUGGUGUUGGGACUCGCGAGUCAAAUCGCGUUCCCCAAAUUGAUUGGCGGUCACGUCGAGCUUCCAUAGCGUAGUAGUAAAACCCUCGUUACUGGUAAUCGUCGCGGCCACGCCGUUAAACCCCAACUUCUGAAUGUUGACCUCGGAUCAGGUAGGAAUACCCGCUGAACCUAAGCAUAUCA
rnacentral:misc_RNA from 2 species